GAGAUAUUAGUAAAAUAUUACAUGACCUUGUCAAGGUUAAAUUAUAGGUGAAAGCCCUAUAUACCUCG
rnacentral:tRNA from 1 species